CAAUGUCUCCUUCAUUCUCCGCUAAUUUCAAAACCCCCCCACUUCUUUCUUCUAAACUCUAAAUUCUGAUUCCAAAUUCCCAAUGAACUUGUCUCGCUUUCUCUCUCUCUCUCUCUCUCAAAUGGUCAAAUCUAAUUCCACCUCCUCUAUUUUCCACCCAAUACGGCCAACGAAUAUGCGGCGACCACCUUCAUCUUUGAGAUACGGAGGAAAUCCGGAAGAGUAGACAGAUUGAUUGCUAAUUGGUUUUGACGCCUGAAGCUAGGGUUUUAACGCCAGGAAGAUGGACCUCCUCCAUUUUUAUUCUCAGCAGUUGAAGUCGAUUCCCAAUUGCAGUGUUUCUUCCUUGUUGUUGUAUCUCUCUUUGUUGCUCUUCUUCUUUGUCUCUUUCCAAUUCUAAAGACUCUAUCACAUUCUCAAAGGAAUAUGUUUCAGGUCACUUUGCCAAAAGUGAAUAAAUUGGUUUUCACUGGCUGGAUUUGCUUCUCCAUGUAAUUUUGAUCAUCGGUGAACUAAUUGUAGCUUUGAGAGAACUUACCCAACAAUUUUGCUAGCUAUUCUGGUUCAAAAGCAAGGGGAGAUAAUAGGAGUUUACUCUCGUUUUAAAGAGUCCAGCCCAUAUUGCAGAUGGACAAUGGAAUCGCCUGAGAAACUCAAUACAGUCGUUGUCUUGAAACAACGAGAUAGCAGCCGUUGGCAGAAGAUUAAUACAUGCAAUGGCUUCUAGUUGGCUAUAUCCCAAAUAAGCUUAUAAACCCAGGAUGCAGACUGAAGACUGGACUGGCUGAACUCUGGGAAUCAUUUGCAUCUGUGUCACUAGAAAGUGCUGGCUGCUGCAGUGCAAUGUUCGGUGAACUAGCAGAAUUCGUGUGCAUUCCAGUCGGUAAGCCACCAAGUGAAGUCUGUGGAGGAUCGUUAGAUGAUGAUGCCGUUGGAGACUGGAAAGGAGAAGGAUUGAGUUGCGGUUGUAGUAAGGUACUCAAGGAACACUAGGAGAUGGCAUCUGAACACCAUUUCCUCCGUAAGGACCAUUUGUGCUACUCUUCGGGUUUUUGCUGUCUCGAGUUCAUUGAGUUUUGAUGACGCAGCCCAGUUAUAUAUGGCACUAGUAGAGGAAGUUGCAGGAGCCGAAUUCAGUGGAUUAUUUACAUUUGCCAUGCCAUUUCUGGAAGGAAGUUGCAAUUAUUACGAAAAAUGUUUCAAUGUGGCCUAACCAUAUUGAAACGUGAUGACUUUUGCAAAAUUGGUUGGAAUUAGGAACUACUUGUACCUUUUAGAAUUAGGUUAUGAUGAUGAAUUUGGAAAUUUGCAGUGAUUGUUUCCAUUUAGAUAGUGAAUUGAAUUACUUACUUGAAAGGGAAAUGUACUACAAGCAUGAAAAAUAAUUCAUAAAAUAUGCAAAAAGUGUAAAUCACUGCAGUGCAUCUGUUUAUUGAAGGAGACUAUUUAAUAUUUGUGACGCAA